UACAGAGGGGGCGAGCGUUGUUCGGAAUUACUGGGCGUAAAGGGCGCGUAGGCGGCCAUCUAAGUCAGACGUGAAAUCCCUCGGCUUAACCUGGGAACUGCGUCUGAUACUGGACGGCUCGAGUGCGGGAGAGGGAUGUGGAAUUCCAGGUGUAGCGGUGAAAUGCGUAGAUAUCUGGAGGAACACCGGUGGCGAAGGCGGCAUCCUGGACCGACACUGACGCUGAGGCGCGAAAGCUAGGGUAGCAAACGGG
rnacentral:rRNA from 1 species